rnacentral:rRNA from 1 species
AGCGAACGCUGGCGGCAGGCCUAACACAUGCCAGUCGAACGAACCUUUCGGGGUUAUUGGCGGACGGGUGAGUAACACGUGGGAACGUGCCUUUAGGUUCGGAAUAACUAAGGGAAACUUGUGCUAAUACCGAAUGUGCCCUUCGGGGGAAAGAUUUAUCGCCGUUAGAGCGGCCAGCGUCGGAUUAGCUAGUUGGUUGAGGUAAUGGCUCACCAAGGCGACGAUCAGUAGCUGGUCAGAGAGCAUGAUCCGCCACAUUGGCACUGAGACACGGCCCAAACUCCUACGGGAUGGAGCAGAGGGGAACGUUGCGCAAUGGGCUAAAAGCUGACGCACCCAUGGCGCGUGAAUGAUGAAGGUCUUAGGAAUGUAAAAUUCUUUCACCGAGGACCAUAAUGACAGUACCCGGAGAAGAAGCCCCGGCUAACUUCGUG